GUGCCAGCAGCCGCGGUAAUACAGAGGUCCCAAGCGUUGUUCGGAUUCACUGGGCGUAAAGGGUGCGUAGGUGGCGGGGUAAGUCUGAUGUGAAAUCUCCGAGCUUAACUCGGAAACUGCAUCGGAUACUGCUUUGCUCGAGGGUUGGAGGGGGGACUGGAAUACUUGGUGUAGCAGUGAAAUGCGUAGAUAUCAAGUGGAACACCAGUGGCGAAGGCGAGUCCCUGGACAACUCCUGACACUGAGGCACGAAAGCUAGGGGAGCAAACAGGAUUAGAAACCCCGGUAGUCC
rnacentral:rRNA from 1 species